rnacentral:rRNA from 1 species
GAUGAACGCUGGCGGUACGUCUGACACAUGCAAGUCGAACGGUAAGCCACCUUCGGGUGGCCUAGAGUGGCGAACGGCUGAGUAACACGUAGGAACCUACCCCUCAGUUCGGGAUAACGGGACGAAAGCCCCGCUAACACCGGAUAAUAUCGAAAGAUUGAAAGGUUACGCUGAGGGAGGGGCCUGCGGGCUAUUAGCUUGUUGGUGGGGUAAUGGCUCACCAAGGCGAUGAUGGCUAGCUGGUCUGAGAGGAUGAUCAGCCAGACUGGGACUGAGACACGGCCCAGACUCCUACGGGAGGCAGCAGUUCAGAAUCUUGCACAAUGGGCAAAGCCUGAUGCAGCGAUACCGCGUGGGUG